ensembl:misc_RNA Metazoa_SRP Metazoan signal recognition particle RNA
GCCGGGCAUGGUGGUGCAUGCCUGUAGUCCCAGCUACUCAGGAGGCCGAGGCAGGAGAAUCGCUUGAACCCAGGAGACGGAGGUCCCAGUGAGCCAAGAUCGCACCACUGCACUCUAGCCUGGGUGACAGAGUGAGACUCUGUCUCAA